rnacentral:rRNA from 1 species
GACGAACGCUGGCGGCGUGCUUAACACAUGCAAGUCGAACGAGAAGAGAUGAGAAGCCUGCUUCUUAUUGAUUCGAGUGGCAAACGGGUGAGUAACGCGUAAGCAACCUGCCCUUCAGAUGGGGACAACAGCUGGAAACGGCUGCUAAUACCGAAUACGUUCUUUUGUCGCAUGGCAGAGGGAAGAAAGGGAGGCUCUUCGGAGCUUUCGCUGAAGGAGGGCUUGCGUCUGAUUAGCUAGUUGGAGGGGUAACGGCCCACCAAGGCGACGAUCAGUAGCCGGUCUGAGAGGUCGAACGGCCACAUUGGGACUGAGACAGGCCCAGACUCCUACGGAGGCAGCAGUGGGGAUAUUGCACAAUGGGGGAAACCCUGAUGCAGCGACGCCGCGUGAGGGAAGACGGGUCCUCUGGAUUGAAAGUUCUGUUAUACGGGACGAAUGGCGUAGCGGUCAAUACCCGUUAGAGUGACGGUACCGUAAG